rnacentral:lncRNA from 1 species
ACCUAAAACUAUGUGUUAUCAUUUUCAUGUACCACCUACUGAUGAGUUUUCUUAUAGCCAAUGGUGAAGGAGAAGUCCUAGAUGACCAAGUGCUUGCUCGAGAAUGCUAUAUCGCAACUCUCAAAGAUUUUCUUAUCACCAAUAAAGGGCUCUAUUAUUACAAAAUUAUGCCCUUCAAGAUGAAGAAUGUAGGAGCCGCAUAUUAAUGCC